CAGCAGCCGCGGUAAUACGUAGGGUGCAAGCGUUAAUCGGAAUUACUGGGCGUAAAGCGUGCGCAGGCGGUUUGUUAAGACAGAUGUGAAAUCCCCGGGCUCAACCUGGGAACUGCAUUUGUGACUGGCAAGCUAGAGUGCGGCAGAGGGGGAUGGAAUUCCACGUGUAGCGGUGAAAUGCGUAGAGAUGUGGAGGAACACCAGUGGCGAAGGCGACUCUCUGGUCUGUAACUGACGCUGAGGAGCGAAAGCGUGGGGAGCGAACAGGAUUAGAGACCCCCGUAGUCCCUGUCUCUUAUAC
rnacentral:rRNA from 1 species